GUGGGGUUCCACAUGAUAGUGAUC
rnacentral:siRNA from 1 species